UGUCUGUGCCUGAACACAUCAUUUUAAAUCCCAAGAUGAUUCUUCUCAAUUGUCACAGCUUUAAAAUAUUGCAGAGAUUAUCCUGUCAUAUUUUUCAUAUUCACUAAGAGGUCCAAAGAGACCAUAUGUGGUAAUGGUAUAUAUAAAGUCCUAUGCUCUUUUUUCAAAUAAUAACUUAUCAGAAUUUAGUUUGAUAUUUAUUUCUUUCUAUACAGAAAUAUAAAUAUCAUAUUUUAACAACUUGAAUUCAAAAUACGCAUUUUGAGUAAUCAUUAAUUAUUUUUUCUAAAAAUCAUAAACAGAUGAAGUUCUUUCAGUACCUUGCGAGUGCUCUUUACGUGUUUCACUACUAAACCUCCAUUAACCGUAAACUGAGAUAAAAUGGCUAGAUACUGAAGUCAAAUGAUUCGUUUGAACAAAGAUGUAGCGACAAGUGGGAGCAUUGUCAGCUAUCUGUUCCGUCAAAGAGACUUGUUUCAAUGUUGUCUGUCAGGCUGAUUGUAUGAUGGAACAGAUAAGUAGGCGAUUCAGGUCAUCGAACCGUUUGAGAAACGGCGAUCAUUUCGAAACGAUAGCCAAAAUUUAUAUAUGUAUGUAUAUAUAGCGUUUGGUUAUAUUUAUUAUUAUUGUUUGUUUUGCACGUCAACUCAGAUAACUGAAAGAAGAGGGUUUAGCCAUAGUCAAAUCCCAUUCCAUUGUUCCCUCUUCCAAGGCGAGGGUGAACGUCCUUUUCGCUUGAACCUGUCUGGCGACCGUAUCGCUGAGGAUGUCGGGAAGAAAAGGGUAGCGAGGAUUUUUUUCCCCUUUCUCUAUUGCAAAGUCACGUGACAGGUCGUCUAGAAGUUCGCGUGACCUAAUUGGAAAAGGGAGCGAGCGAUAAGGAGACGACUAGUCUGCUUCAACUGUUGUUUCAAAGAACGUCUUUUUAAGAUAAGAGUUGGUUUUAAUGCGUUAGAAAAUUCAGAAGAAAAAAAAAUUACAUCUAGUAAAUUAAUUAUGAUUAAGUUUGCUUUUAAAUAUACUUAAACUGUAUUUUUACUUUUAGUUAUUUUGUAAACGUAGUCCAUGUUAGACCUGCUCUAGACCAAUUUUUUAUUUUUUUUUAAAUUUUUUCUAUAUAACUUAUUUAAGAAAAACGCACUUAUGCGGGCUACUGAACUUAGAAAUGGUAAUUAAGUAACAAUAUACCAAGUUAUUUACCUGUAAUAAAUAACUUUGCAUAUGAAUUAAGUAAAAGAAAAAUAAAUUGCAUUAUCAUGUACAGAAAUUCUUUAAAAAGUGAAAAUAAAAAAAUUACCCUGAUAAAUUACCUUAAAAUAAUUUUAUUUUUGUAC
rnacentral:lncRNA from 1 species